UUCCAAGUAGCUUAAUUGUGAAGCACCCAACCGGCAAUUGGGGGAUCUGGGUUCAAGUCCCGGCCUGGGCU
rfam:Strigamia maritima strain Brora ctg7180001227174, whole genome shotgun sequence.